AUUGAACGCUGGCGGCAUGCCUUACACAUGCAAGUCGAACGGCAGCACGGGUGCUUGCACCUGGUGGCGAGUGGCGAACGGGUGAGUAAUACAUCGGAACAUGUCCUGUAGUGGGGGAUAGCCCGGCGAAAGCCGGAUUAAUACCGCAUACGAUCUACGGAUGAAAGCGGGGGACCUUCGGGCCUCGCGCUAUAGGGUUGGCCGAUAGCUGAUUAGCUAGUUGGUGGGGUAAAGGCCUACCAAGGCGACGAUCAGUAGCUGGUCUGAGAGGACGACCAGCCACACUGGGACUGAGACACGGCCCAGACUCCUACGGGAGGCAGCAGUGGGGAAUUUUGGACAAUGGGCGAAAGCCUGAUCCAGCAAUGCCGCGUGUGUGAAGAAGGCCUUCGGGUUGUAAAGCACUUUUGUCCGGAAAGAAAUCCUUGGCUCUAAUACAGUCGGGGGAUGACGGUACCGGAAGAAUAAGCACCGGCUAACUACG
rnacentral:rRNA from 1 species